GGGAUAAAAAGCAGCAAGUUAUUAAUACUCUAUAAACGAUGUAGAAGCAGCAAGAAGCAAAGCUACAUGCAGUAACCUAGAGCUAGUGGACAAGAAAACAGAAAAGUGAGGGUCUACAGCACCACACGGGCAGAGGAAGGGAGGUGCAACAAACAUUCAGCAUCUGCUAUUAGCAUCUAUUUGUUGCCUUUGAUAGCAUAACAGAAAAGAUGUUCUUACAGGCCCAUCCAAUCUAUUUGGCCAUCCAACUAACAAGCAGCUCCAAGUGGAUUCGAAUCGACUCCAGCACGUCCUAACAUCGGAGGCUGGGCUGCUCCUUGACCCAGGGACGCACCUCGCAGGUACACACCACCGUCGGAGUCCUGGUUUGCACCCUCUGGUUGUCGCGGCGAGAUUACGCCUGUAGAUCCGGACCACCAGACGUUGGAGACGGCAUCUCCCACAACCUGGCGUCGACGCUGCCGCCGCCUCCUCCGGCACCGAGCAGGCCUCUCUCACCGAAGGCUCCUGCCCUAUACCAACGCAAAGCGCGCGAUGGUGAAAAUGGGCGCGAUAAACAGGUGCUACGCGCGCCAGUGACAGAAUUGGGGGAAUUUCACCUCGCGUAAAUUCGCGGGAGCAAUCGCCCUGGAUGCGGGACGGCGAAAAGAUGAGGAAGGUUUACACGAGCUGUUGUUGGAGGUGAGUGGAACGGCCUUGAUUUUGUCUCACGUAUAUGCUUUAAAAUCCUAAAUUUAAAGAAAAGACAAAACAUGUUGAUUAUAGAAAAAUUAGGAAUAACCUAGAAUUAGAGUCUUAUGGGCAAGGACACUAUUGCUGAUUUACUAACCUCUAUAAGAAACGCAGACAUGAUAAAAAAGAAACUGUUCGAGUAGUAUCCACAAAUAUUACCGAAAACAUUGUUAAAAUACUUCAGAAUUUUAUUGCUAAAAGUCCUUAUUCGGAGACUUUUAGCAUUGUUCUUGGAGGCUACGAAAAAUAGUAUAUGUAGAGAGAGAAAGAAAGAGAGGUUUGCGUUAUUUGUCAUCUCUACUACUUAUUAAGUAAGUAAUAGUAGUCUGCCUUUCACUGUUCUGCCUUUGACCUGUU
rnacentral:lncRNA from 1 species